rnacentral:pre_miRNA from 1 species
AUACACGGACGGUGAAUACAGAGUAGACAGGACAGGCGCUGACUUCCAACUAAGCGCCUGCCCUGCGUGCUCUGUAUUCACCGUCCGUGUAU